UACGUAGGGAGCGAGCGUUGUCCGGAUUUACUGGGUGUAAAGGGUGCGUAGGCGGCCGUGCAAGUCAGAAGUGAAAUCCAUGGGCUUAACCCGUGAACUGCUUUUGAAACUGCAGGGCUUGAGUGAAGUAGAGGCAGGCGGAAUUCCCGGUGUAGCGGUGAAAUGCGUAGAGAUCGGGAGGAACACCAGUGGCGAAGGCGGCCUGCUGGGCUUUAACUGACGCUGAAGCACGAAAGCGUGGGUAGCAA
rnacentral:rRNA from 1 species